rnacentral:tRNA from 1 species
GCGGUGUAGCUCAGCUGGCUAGAGCGUACGGUUCAUACCCGUGAGGUCGGGGGGCGUUUGACUACGGAUCAAAAGGUUAGGGGUUCGACUCCUCUCGGGCGCGCCA